rnacentral:rRNA from 1 species
CCUACGGNNANGCAGCAGUGAGGAAUAUUGCGCAANNNNNNAAAGCCUGACGCAGCAACGCCGCGUGGAUGAUGAAGNUNUUCGGAAUGUAAAGUCCUUUUGUAGAGGAAGAACAUGCUGGUUUACCGGCAGUGACGGUACUCUGCGAAUAAGCCACGGCUAACUCUGUGCCAGCAGCCGCGGUGAUACGUAGGGGGCGAGCGUUGUCCGGAAUUACUGGGCGUAAAGGGUACGUAGGCGGUUUCAUAAGUCAGGUGUAAAAGGCAAUGGCUCAACCAUUGUAAGCACUUGAAACUGUGAAACUUGAGUACAGGAGAGGUAAGUGGAAUUCCUAGUGUAGCGGUGAAAUGCGUAGAUAUUAGGAGGAACACCAGUGGCGAAGGCGACUUACUGGACUGUAACUGACGCUGAGGUACGAAAGCGUGGGGAGCGAACAGGAUUAGAUACCCUGGUAGUCCACGCCGUAAACGAUGAGUGCUAGGUGUCGGCGAGCGAUCGUCGGUGCCGGAGUUAACGCAAUAAGCACUCCGCCUGGGGAGUACGGUCGCAAGACUGAAACUCAAAGGAAUUGACGG